UACGUAGGAUGCAAGCGUUGUCCGGAUUUACUGGGCGUAAAGCGCGCGCAGGCGGCUCUUUAAGUAUGGCGUGAAAUCUCCCUGCUCAACGGGGAGGGUGCGUUGUAGACUGAGGAGCUUGAGGUCGGUAGAGGGGGGUGGAAUUGCUGGUGUAGCGGUGAAAUGCGUAGAGAUCAGCAGGAACACCCGUGGCGAAGGCGGCCCCCUGGGCCGUACCUGACGCUGAGGCGCGAAGGCUAGGGGAGCGACCCGG
rnacentral:rRNA from 1 species